rfam:Lachancea fermentati genome assembly, chromosome: A
GGCAGCUUGGCCGAGUGGUUAAGGCGGCAGACUUAAGAUCUGUUGGAUAGUUUCCGCGCGAGUUCGAACCUCGCAGCUGUCA